UCUAUAACUGUGUCUGUUGACCUGCAGUCCGGUGGCCACGGCCUCCACGCUUUCCCAGUCCCAGUCCUCACCAGAAGGAGACGAAGACGACCAGUUUGACGCAGAGGAACUUGCCCACAGGCCUGAUGGGAGUCAGCUCCUCCCUGAGCGCCCGGUAGGACCAGGCGUUUCUGAAGCUGAAGUUGGCUUCGUCAUAAACGCCGCAGAGCUGACAGAUCCUGACGACGCAGGAGGAACAACGAUUAAAUAACCCCAUGGUUACGCUCCGGCUGGGUGUAGUGCACCAUGUGCUGCAGGAUCCCCCACAGUGAAAUGGGGAUCGUCAGGAAGACGAAGAUGCCGGCGAUGAACCAGGCUUUACUCUCCCAGACGCAGAGCGGCAGCACGGCCACCAGCAGGAGGGCGUAGAGGACCAGGACCAGCGGGCGGAUCCACCUCCUCCACUCCGCACAGGAACACGGCAUCACGUCGACUACCGGCUCGGUCUGGACCACGGGCCGCACAGUGGGGGAGGUGGGGGCCACGGCCAGGCUGGUUGAUAACAGUGAAAUUCAGCCCCGCCUCUGUUGCCAGGCAACGCAUCCUCCCUCCUCCUCCUCCUCUUCCGCCCUCAGCACUGAACGAACGGAUCAGCUGCUGUGGUGCUGCUGGUGCCGAUCACCGGCCCAGUCGAUCACAUCGAUCCGGUGAAACCGUCCAGGUCUCAGGCCCGACAGACAGGGAGCUGCAGUCUGCGUCUCGUCCUCUGGGUUCCCACGUCACCGACCGACCGGGAUGUCAUCAUCAUCAUCAUCAUCAUCAUCAUCAUCAUCACACGUCAUCACCAGUCACGUGUUUGCACGUCACACACACAAAACAGAAUCCUGUUGGAGCUGUGUCUGUGACUCACAGUCAUGAAGGGCGUCCUGGGCUGCAGCAUGCAGGUCCUCAUGGUGACGUUCUUGUACUCGAAGUCGACCAUGUUGAAGCCGACGGCCUCCGGCACGGCCAGCACGGCGGACAGCAGCCAGAUCCCCACGAUCUCCACCGCCGUCACCACGGGAACGCCCGUGCCCUGCACCCGAGACCAGGACGUCACCGCCCGGUACCUGGGUUACAAGGUUUUACAAGUUUCACACGAGUUUCCUUUUUCAAACGAAUCUUCUGCGUAUACAUACUGGACGUGAAUGUUUGUAUUGUGCCUUUUGCCUUAUUGAAUUCUUGCUUCACUCACGUCGUUGGAGCAGCAGUGACUUUAUCGUUGACCUAAUGCAAAUCGAACCUGUCACCUGUUCGUACCUAAUUUAUCAAUCACCUAAAAUAUAUAAACUGCUAAACUAAAAUGUUUAAAGCUUUGGUUUUUAGUGUCAAAUGUAAAUAA